ACAAAUUCUGCUGGGAUAGUGAGCAUAACACUGUUGUGAGGAGGGUGUGGGAAAAUGACGCGGCAACUAGGUUGCGUGAUUUUUGGUAUGAAGCACAAAAAAAGGCAAAAAAAGCCGCGAGGGAUAGGGGUUUCCAAGGCUGGAACGAUGUAACAGUUUGGAGGGAUUUCAAACCGAUAUACAUCCCGGAAGAUAUAUGACCGCACUAUAUUGAGCACAUGACGUCUGAGUGGUUCACAUAACGCUCACAGUCCGGUGCUGGCAACCGGAAUCGGCCAAUUCAUGGCGGGGUGACAACGCACACUAGUGGCUCCGUUCCAUUUGCUGCACAUGCGAAACAGAUGGCUGCGUCUCUUGGACGUGAGCCGAGCCCGAUGGAGCUGUUUGUGGAGACGCACGUGCGGAGUCAAGACCGUCAGAAAGGGGUGCAACAGUUCGUUGAUAACCGUGCUCAACAUUUCAUGGAGACCUAUAAUAAUCGGUUAAGGGAGAGAUA